UGGGGAAUAUUGGGCAAUGGGCGAAAGCCUGACCCAGCAACGCCGCGUGGAGGAAGAAGGUUUUCGGAUCGUAAACUCCUGUCCUAAGAGACGAGGAAGAGACGGUAUCUUAGGAGGAAGCCCCGGCUAACUACGUGCCAGCAGCCGCGGUAAUACGUAGGGGGCAAGCGUUGUCCGGAAUGAUUGGGCGUAAAGGGUGCGUAGGCGGCUCGGUAAGUCUGGAGUGAAAGUCCUGGCUUUAAGUUGGGAAUUGCUUUGGAUACUGUCGGGCUUGAGUGCAGGAGAGGUUAGUGGAAUUCCCAGUGUAGCGGUGAAAUGCGUAGAGAUUGGGAGGAACACCAGUGGCGAAGGCGACUAACUGGACUGUAACUGACGCUGAGGCGCGAAAGUGUGGGGAGCAAACAGGAUUAGAUACCC
rnacentral:rRNA from 1 species